CCUACGGGAGGCAGCAGUGAGGAAUAUUGGUCAAUGGGCGGGAGCCUGAACCAGCCAAGUAGCGUGCAGGAUGACUGCCCUACGGGUUGUAAACUGCUUUUAUAAGGGAAUAAAGUGCCUUACGUGUACCUCUUUGUAUGUAUUGUAUGAAUAAGGACCGGCUAAUUCCGUGCCAGCAGCCGCGGUAAUACGGAGGAUCCGGGCGUUAUCCGGAUUUAUUGGGUUUAAAGGGAGCGUAGGUGGCUUGUCAAGCGUGCUGUGAAAGGUUCGGGCUCAACCCGAGAAUUGCAAGGCGAACUGGCGUGCUUGAGUCCACGUAAGGCAGGCGGAAUUCGUCGUGUAGCGGUGAAAUGCUUAGAUAUGACGAAGAACCCCGAUUGCGAAGGCAGCUUACUAAAGCGGCACUGACGCUGAUGCUCGAAAGCGCGGGUAUCAAACAGGAUUAGAUACCCCAGUAGUC
rnacentral:rRNA from 1 species